rnacentral:rRNA from 1 species
AGGGUUUGAUCCUGGCUCAGAGUGAACGCUGGCGGCGUGGAUAGGGCAUGCAAGUCGAGCGAUUGCUAAUUUUGGAUUUUUUUUGAACUUCCUGAAGGGGUUUACCUCGGAGGGGAGGAAUGAGAGAAUUUGUGUUAGUGAUAGCGGCAAACGGUAGAGUAUCACGUGGGUUACUUGCCCUAAGGAGGAAAAUAGCUUCGAGAAAUCGGAGGUAAUAUUCCAUAAGUCUUUCGAGAUUAAAGGUGGCUGAAUUCUUCGGAGUGCCAUCACCUUAGGAUGGGCCCGCGGCUUAUCAGGUUGUUGGUGGGGUAAUGGCCUACCAAGCCUAAGACGAGUAGCAGGCGUGAGAGCGUGGCCUGCCUGAUGGGGACUGAGACACGGCCCCGACUCCUACGGGAGGCAGCAGUCGAGAAUCUUUUGCAAUGGGCGAAAGCCUGACAAUGCGACGCCGCGUGGGGGAUGAAGGUUUUCGGAUUGUAAACCCCUUUUGUCAGGGAUGAAAUACUUAAGGUUAAUAUCCUUAAGGGCUGACAGUACCUGGCGAAUAAGCCACGGCUAACUCCGUGCCAGCAGCCGCGGUAAUACGGAGGUGGCAAGCGUUACUCGGUUUGACUGGGCGUAAAGGGUCCGCAGGCGGCUAGAUAAGUGAAAGGUGAAAUCUUUCGGCUCAACCGUAAGACUGCCUUUCAAACUGUUUAGCUUGAGGCUGAAAGAGGAGAAUGGAACUGCCGGUGUAAGGGUGAAAUCUGUGGAUAUCGGCAGGAACGUCAAUGGCGAAGGCAGUUCUCUGGUUCAGCUCUGACGCUCAUGGACGAAAGCUAGGGUAGCAAACGGGAUUAGAUACCCCGGUAGUCCUAGCUGUAAACGAUCCCCGCUAGGUGUCUGUCCGUACGGAUGGGUGCCGUAGCUAACGCGUUAAGCGGGGCACCUGGGGACUACAGCCGCAAGGCUAAAACUCAAAGGAAUUGGCGGGGGCCAGCACAAGCGGUGGAACACGUGGUUCAAUUCGAUGCUACGCGAGGAACCUUACCAGGGCUUGACAUGCUAGAAGUACUUGGGUGGAAACACCUGGAGACCGUAUCCAAUCGGCGUCUAGUACAGGUGCUGCAUGGCUGUCGUCAGCUCGUGCCGUGAGGUGUCCGGUUAAGUCCGGCAACGAGCGCAACCCUCGUCUUUAGUUGCCAACUUCUGAUUUAUCAGAAUGGCUCUCUAAAGAGACUGCCCUGUAUAACGGGGAGGAAGGUGAGGAUGACGUCAAGUCCGCAUGGCCCUUAUGUCCUGGGCUACACACGUGUUACAAUGCUCGCUACAAUGAGACGCCAAGCCGUAAGGUGGAGCAAAUCUCAAAAAAGCGGGCUCAGUUCGGAUUGAGGGCUGCAACCCGCCCUCAUGAAGUUGGAAUCGCUAGUAAUGGCGCAUCAGCCACGGCGCCGUGAAUACGUUCCCUGGCCUUGCACACACCGCCCGUCACGCCAUGGGAGUCGGGGGCACCCGAACUCCGACAUUAGUCGGAGGAAGGUGAACUCGGCGACUGGGGCGAAGUCGUAACAAGGUA